UACAGAGGUCUCAAGCGUUGUUCGGAUUCAUUGGGCGUAAAGGGUGCGUAGGCGGCGCGGUAAGUCGGGUGUGAAAUCUCGGAGCUUAACUCCGAAACUGCAUUCGAUACUGCCGUGCUUGAGGACUGGAGAGGAGACUGGAAUUUACGGUGUAGCGGUGAAUUGCGUAGAUAUCGUAAGGAAGACCAGUGGCGAAGGCGGGUCUCUGGACAGUUCCUGACGCUGAGGCACGAAGGUCAGGGGAGCAAACGGG
rnacentral:rRNA from 1 species